GAUGGACCUAGUGGGUAAGUCGGCGAGGUCGGAUGCCGAGCCCACUUGGAACUUCGUUGUAGUUCUUACACCACUAACCCUACAGGUCCUAGCACGAGCGGGGCGGCGGAGGACCGAGGCAAGGGUUUGGCGCCGUAGGUAGCGGCCACCAGGACUUUAUGCAUUUUGUAGUCAUUCCCUUUUGUUAUACAUGUAUCAACUUUAUUUUGUUGAUUUAGAAAUGAAAAGUGUAAACAAUCAUGUAUUUGGUGGAUGACUAAAUGUAAAAGAUAUAUUGGGUUGAAUGGAAUGUAAUAGCUUUGUUUACUUGAAUUUGAUUUAAAUGAGAUCAAAUAUCAUGUGUGAUUU
rnacentral:lncRNA from 1 species